CCCUCUGCUGCUUUCAUCUUUGUCGUCUCGUCAGCUUCAUUUCUCUUCUUUCGCUUCCUCUAAUGCCGCAACUCAUUGCCCAUUGUCCCGCUACAGCUUUACCAUGUUCCAUAGCGCCUUCUUCGCCGUUAUCAUCGUCUACUGCUCGCCUCGUCUGUCGUCCGCUCCAUCGUGUAUUUACUAUCACCAAUGGCCGCGGCAGUAUUUGUUCGGGAAAUAGAGCAAUUAUCUGCAUGGCAAACCCUAGGAGGGUCAAAAUGGUGGCGAAGCAAAUUAGGCGAGAGAUAUCGGAUAUGCUGCUGACAGAUAAGAUUUUGCAGUACGCGGUGUUGCCCGAAGCUUCUUUGGGUGCUGAUCGAUACUUGUCGUCGCUUACCACAAUUAGUGACGUUGAAGUCUCUGCUGAUUUGCAGGUUGUUAAGGUGUAUGUAUCUGUUUUCGGGGAUGAAAGGGGGAAAGAAGUUGCUCUGGCAGGAUUGAAAGCAAAAGCAAAAUAUGUACGUAGUGAGCUAGGCAGGCGAAUGAAGCUGCGGCUAACUCCUGAGAUUCGUUUCCUAGAAGAUGAAUCCAUAGAGCGAGGAAGCAGGGUAAUUGCUAUCUUAGAUAAAAUAAAAGAUGGUAAUGAGAGGAAAGGCACGGAAGAUCAAGAUCCUGAUUUUGAAGAGCCAGGUGAUGGAAAUGAAGAUGCUGAGUUGGAGAGCGACGACUUUGAUGAUGAGGGCAUCAUUUAUGUCAAAUAACUCAUGUUGAAUGCAAUUGUAUCUGUGCAUUGCUUCUUUUGGCUGGGGGCUGAUUAAAAUUCAUGGUUGUACGCAGGAAUUUUAAGUCAUGAAAUUCAAAUCAAGAAAAUCCUACAAAGUUGAGUGCAAGCAGGAAAAACGAGGAAAUCAGGCAAUUCGCUCGCAGGCAAGCCAAGAAUCAACAAUUAUAUAACUGAAAUUAAAGCGAUUAAAAUGAGCGGAAAAGAAAUGGUGAGAUGGAGAUAGUGUGCGAGCGGUGAGUGCAGCAAGAAUGUUGGUGAGCGAGCCAAGAAUCAACAAUUAUAGAAUUGAAAUUAAAGCGAUCAAAAUGAGCGGAAGAGAAAUGGUAAAGUGGAGAUAGUAUGCAAACGGUGAGUGCAACGAAAAUGUUGGUGAGCAAGGACUAGUGGAUGAGUAGUGAGUGGAUUACAUAUAUUAUGAACAAUGUUGAACGGUUGAUGAGCGAUGUUGAUGGCAGGUGAGUGACAAUAUGUGAGCGGUGUGGAGGAUCAGAAAAAGCUUUAUGUGAUCUGUGCGUUCCUUAAUGGCCAAGUUCUUAUAGAGGAGAUGAGCGAGCGGUGUUAGUGACUAAGUGAAACGUAUAUUUAUAAUGUACAAUGACAAAAGUAAUAAAUGUAAUCAC